rnacentral:rRNA from 1 species
ACCAGACUCCUACGGGAGGCAGCAGUGGGGGAUAUUGCACAAUGGGGGGAACCCUGAUGCAGCGACGCCGCGUGGGUGAAGGAGUAUUUCGGUAUGUAAAGCCCUAUCGGCAGGGAAGAAGCAAGACGGUACCUGACUAAGAAGCCCCGGCUAACUACGUGCCAGCAGCCGCGGUAAUACGUAGGGGGCGAGCGUUAUCCGGAUUCACUGGGUGUAAAGGGAGCGUAGACGGCCAAGCAAGCCAGGGGUGAAAGCCCGGGGCCCAACCCCGGGACUGCCCUUGGAACUGCAUGGCUGGAGUGCGGGAGGGGCAGGCGGAAUUCCUGGUGUAGCGGUGAAAUGCGUAGAUAUCAGGAGGAACACCGGCGGCGAAGGCGGCCUGCUGGACCGCGACUGACGUUGAGGCUCGAAAGCGUGGAGAGCAAACAGGAUUAGAUACCCGCGUAUUC